GAAAAAAGUCAUACAGUUUUGAAUGACAUGGGGCAUACAGCUGGACAUUUCCUGACUACAGAACAAUUUCUCCCUGUUCUCCUUUAUGCCCUACAUAUUCCAAUCACAUGUGAAAGUAUCCAAAUAUUUAUGGAGACAAUCAGUGUUCCAAGAGGAAACUACUGGUGUUGCUAUCUGUCUGAGCAAGAAUAUACAACCACAUUAUGUAUAAAGCUGGACCCC